rnacentral:rRNA from 1 species
GAGGAAAAGAAACUAACUAGGAUUCCCUCAGUAGCGGCGAGCGAAGCGGGAAAAGCUCAAGAUUUUAAUCUGCGGACGACGUCCGUAGAACUGUAGUCUGGAGGGGCGCGAUCAGGAGGUACCUUUUAGCUUAAGUCUUCUGGAAUGAAGCACCAUAGAGGGUGAAAGUCCCGUGUCUGGCUAAAG